CUUUGGUCUUAUUUUGUUGGUUUCUAAGACUGAAGUAAUGAUUAAUAGGGAUAGUUGGGGGCAUUAGUAUUUAAUUGUCAGAGGUGAAAUUCUUGGAUUUAUGAAAGACUAACUUCUGCGAAAGCAUUUGCCAAGGAUGUUUUCAUUGAUCAAGAACGAAAGUUAGGGGAUCGAAGACGAUCAGAUACCGUCGUAGUCUUAACCAUAAACUAUGCCAACUGCGGAUUGGGCGAGUAUACUUUUAUGUCUCGCUCAGCACGCUAUGAGAAAUCAAAGUUUUUGGGUUCCGGGGGGAGUAUGGUCGCAAGGCUGAAACUUAAAGGGAUUGACGGAAGGGCACCACCAGGAGUGGAGCCUGCGGCUUAAUUUGACUCAACACGGGGAAACUCACCAGGUCCAGA
rnacentral:rRNA from 1 species